CUGCAGCUCAAGUGGUGACCACUAUUAUUGGGCCUAAAACGUUCGUAGCCGGUUUGGUAAAUGCCUGGGUAAAUCGUGUAGCUUAACUAUACGAAUUCCGGGUAGACUGCCAAACUUGAGACCGGGAGAAGCUAGAGGUACUCCUGGGGUAGAGGUGAAAUUCUGUAAUCCUAGGGGGACCACCAGUGGCGAAGGCGUCUAGCUAGAACGGGUCUGACGGUGAGGGACGAAGCCCUGGGGCACAAACCGGAUUAGAUACCCGAGUAGUCC
rnacentral:rRNA from 1 species